rnacentral:rRNA from 1 species
UGGGGAAUAUUGUGCAAUGGGGGAAACCCUGACACAGCGACGCCGCGUGAGUGAAGAAGGCCUUCGGGUCGUAAAGCUCAAUAGUAUGGGAAGAUAGUGACGGUACCAUACGAAAGCCCCGGCUAACUACGUGCCAGCAGCCGCGGUAAUACGUAGGGGGCGAGCGUUGUCCGGAAUUACUGGGCGUAAAGAGCACGUAGGCGGCUAUAAAAGUCAGAUGUGAAAAACCUGGGCUCAACCGAGGGUAUGCAUCUGAAACUAAAUAGCUUGAGUCAAGGAGAGGAGAGCGGAAUUCCUGGUGUAGCGGUGAAAUGCGUAGAGAUCAGGAAGAAUACCAGUGGCGAAAGCGGCUCUCUGGACUUGAACUGACGCUGAGGUGCGAAAGCGUGGGGAGCAAACAGG